rnacentral:rRNA from 1 species
UACAGAGGGUGCAAGCGUUGUUCGGAAUUAUUGGGCGUAAAGAGCUCGUAGGCGGUCUGUCGCGUCGGCUGUGAAAACUCGGGGCUCAACUCCGAGCUUGCAGUCGAUACGGGCAGGCUAGAGUUCGGCAGGGGAGACUGGAAUUCCUGGUGUAGCGGUGAAAUGCGCAGAUAUCAGGAGGAACACCGGUGGCGAAGGCGGGUCUCUGGGCCGAUACUGACGCUGAGGAGCGAAAGCGUGGGGAGCGAACAGG